rnacentral:rRNA from 1 species
CCUACGGGCGGCAGCAGUGGGGAAUAUUGGACAAUGGGCGAAAGCCUGAUCCAGCCAUGCCGCGUGUGUGAAGAAGGCCUUCGGGUUGUAAAGCACUUUCAGUGGGGAAGAAAGCCUUGGGGCUAAUACCCUCGAGGAAGGACAUCACCCACAGAAGAAGCACCGGCUAACUCCGUGCCAGCAGCCGCGGUAAUACGGAGGGUGCGAGCGUUAAUCGGAAUUACUGGGCGUAAAGCGCGCGUAGGCGGUCUGAUAAGCCGGUUGUGAAAGCCCCGGGCUCAACCUGGGAACGGCAUCCGGAACUGUCAGGCUAGAGUGCAGGAGAGGAAGGUAGAAUUCCCGGUGUAGCGGUGAAAUGCGUAGAGAUCGGGAGGAAUACCAGUGGCGAAGGCGGCCUUCUGGACUGACACUGACGCUGAGGUGCGAGAGCGUGGGUAGCAAACAGGAUUAGAUACCCGUGUAGUC